rnacentral:lncRNA from 1 species
GGGAGGAAUAUUCCGAGGGGAUUGGGACAGGUAGCUGCAGAUGAGGGGUGGGGUGGUUGGCUCCACACCCCCACCCAAUUCUGAGACCCUUGUCACCUGGAGGAUGUCAGCAGCAGACGACACUUAGGCAGUACACUCUGGUUUGCGGUGGAUUUGGGUAAGUAGUGGAGAUUCUGGGGUCUCCCUGGGCAGGUGAAUUAACCUCCCUGGAUUUCUCACCUGGGAAACAGGAGAGACUUCUGGUGGGCAUCAUGUGGGAUGCAGGGACAGUGUCACCUGUAGUCAGCUUGCUUAUAUGUGGCAGCGAUGGCUGUCACACCAUGAGAGUUAACAAAGAAGCUAUCCCUCAGGGGCUCAGAGCCUAUAGAUGCUGUAUAAGUGGCAGGUGGUGCCGAUUUGGAGGAUUUUGGUUCCCCCUUCAAGUCCUGGACCCUAGCUCUCCCUCACCACACUGCAGCAGUCCUAGGAAGAGUCAUUGUCACUUCCCCUGGUGCCCUGGAGGCUCUGAAUGUGAAUGUCCUCCUGAUUCUUCUAUCUCAGAGUUCAAGGUCCUUGAGUUCUGCUGGCCAUCCCGUCCCCCGCCACCACUGCUGGACUCUCUGGGUUCCCACAUAUUGAGCAGGGGCACACGGGGGUUCCCAGCCCUGCUUCCCAUCCUGCAGGGGAUCCCUCACUGCAUUGCCGCAUUUGUCAUAGAUGUCAACAUCUUUAAUACGGACUCAUCGGAACCUCCUGUAAAUAACUCUCUCUGCUUCUGCUGACUGGCAGGUGAUGAGGAAGAAACACAGGCAAAUUUGGAAAGCAAUAUAUUUCCCCAACGUGAUUUCUGUCUCUGGUCAUAAACGUCAGAGAUAAAUGAGUUGAUUUUAUUAAGAUCAGCACGUUGUUGCAGGGAGGCAUUGGCUGAGCUGUGAAUCAUGGAGUCCCUGGAAGCCCCUGGGAGUCCCUCACCCCUGCACCUUCAGGGCAGGUGAGCCUGCCUUCCAGUGUGAGCACUGGGGGCCUCUGCAUAAAAGGGCUGCAUCUGUUCCUGCCACCUAGCACCCCUUCCCCUCCCUCCAGACCCAGGCCCUCUCAUUGCACCAGUGUGAACCAGUGUGAACCUGGCGGAUGCCACACGUUGUCCCUUUGGCCUGUCUUUGGUACAUCACUGUCUGCCCCACCCUGGACUGGCCAUGGCCUGUUUUCCCCAUCACAUCUCACGCUUUCCUGUCACCCAGUGGGGCCUGUGUGUGUUGAGUGGGUCCUGCGGAUGACUCUGGAGUCCACCUUUUUGAAGUCGAUUUUAGGAAAUUCAAGCAGGUUCAAUACCCACAGGUUCUUUCUUCCCUUAUCCCCAACAACUGGCCAGUGACUGAAGUUCUAUGUGUCUGGGUUUCCUAUUGCUAUGGCAACAGAGUACCACACAUUUAGUGGCCUAAAGCAACCCAGACUUAUUAUCUUACGAGUCUGGAGGGCAGAAGCCUGACAUGGAGAUGACCUGGCCAACAUCCAGGUGUCCGCAGGGUGACAUUCCUUCUGGAAGUUCUAGGGAAGAGUCCACUUCCUGCCUUUCCCAACUUCUAAAGGCUGCUUGCAUUCCUUGGCAGUGGCCCCUGCCAUCUUCAAAGCCAGCAGCCCUGGGCCUCCAACAGCCGCUUCUAUUGCCACACCUCCUUCUCCAACGUCAACCCUCCUUCUCCUUUGUCAACCCUCCUAUCUCCUUUUGCACACCUAGAGCCCUUGGGACUACCUUGGGCCGGCCUAGACAGCCCAGGACAACCUCCUCAUCUCAAGGUUGUCUGAUCAGCAGGCUUACUUCCAUUUGUAAUAUUAAUCUCCUGGUGGUGUUGUGGACACAUUCAAGGUUCCAGGGAGUAGGAUGUGGACAUCUUUGCUCACCCCACUCCAUGAAAGCUUCAUGUCUUUGGCUUUGAUUUGGAUCAGGGAGGUGGGCCAGCCUGAGCUAACUGGGAUCAAAGUGGGGAGAGGUGGGGCUGGGGUUGUGGCUCAGUGGCAGAGCGCUUGCCUCACACGUAUGAGGCAUUGGGUUCAAUCCUCAGCACCACAUAAAAAUAAAUAAAUAAAAUAAAUGUAUUAUGUCCAUCUGCAACUAAAAAAAAAUUUAAAAAAUAAAAGAGUGAGGAGGUAUUUUGAGAGAGGGUCUGGGCAGGAGCAUCUUCUAGCAGUUUCUAUCUUCUUCUUAAUGGGCUCAGGCUGAGGAAGACCAGGAUCAGGGGAGAUUGAAAGCCAGGAAGGAGGAGCUCAGAUCAUUCAUGGCUUCAUGCCCACCCCCAUCUGCAGCUGAUUUUCACACUCAAGUGACAGUGACAGACUUUGCUAAUUGAUCUCAGAUCUCUUUUAUCCAUAUCCUGGCCAAGGCUUAUGGCAGAGCCUACAGUAGAGACCGGAUGUCCCUGAUCCUGCUUCUGCUUCCUAGGAGCAGGAGGCUCUAUUUCCCAGCCUCCUUGCAGUUUGGCUGGGGCCAUGUAUUGUGGCUAAUGUGCCCUGGCCAUCAGCCCACUGCAUAAUCCUUCAUAGUCUGCCUUCCUCUUCUGGGGUGAUUGUGGAGGCCCUUACUGGGAGGUGGGGGUGUCAUAAAGUGGAAGGAGCCUGGGUGGCUGAAUUCAUCACUUGAAGGAAAUUUGCUUGGGGGGCCAUCUGCACUGGUUUGGAUUGUCAUGUGAGGCAGAAAUAAGCAACUCUUUUGUUAAGUCACCGGGAUUUGGGAACUGGGUGUUAUCGCAGCUAAUGUUACUUAUCCUAGCUAAUAUGUAGUUACAGACCACUUCCUAAAACUCACGACCAAUCAGUCAGGGUUGGCCCUGGUGGUAAAAGUAUUUCCCUCCCUUCUCCCAUAUUUUAAUUGAUGCUUAGACUUCUAAUUGCAGUUAGACUGUUCUGAAUUUCAGGCCCAUGUAGCCUACAGUCUACCAAAUAGCUCCAAAAUGGGACAUUCUGUUUCUUCCAAACCUGCUUCAUAGCCUAUGUUCACAGAUUUAGAGACACAAGGCAGCCCAGAUUCUCUUUGAUUUAUUUUUUCAUCUUUCAUGUCCAAUAUUUCUGAGAAACCUCCUUCCUAAAUACCUCAGGAACCCGUGCCUCCCUCUCCUUUCUCUGCCUCCCCUUCCCUAGUUGGGGCCUCCCUCUCUGGGAUGGACCACUGCUGAGACCCUAUUUAGCUGCCCUCCAAUCUCUAGCCAAGUUGCCAUGGUGAUCUGUCCCCUGUGCAAAUCUGGGCACCUCACUUGCAGACCUAAUGCCCUUCCUCUUGUGGAAUUGUUUCCUCAUGGCCCUCAGGACCAAGGAGUCCCCACUGGGAGCCCAGCACCUGGAGAUGGUGCCUUGGUGCUUGUGGGGUGAGGCAGUGGUCAGAAGUCAAGGGGACUUCCCUGCAGGUUCCACGUGCAUAGAUAUCAUCUGCUGCCAAGAAAGAAUAAACCGAGUUAAUUCUGGAACUCUUUGCUCCUCUCUCACUACCUACACCAGAGGAUGGCAUGAUGUGAAGCUGGAAGAAACCUGAAAGUUUGUGAAGACCAGUGGACCGAUUCACAGAGGGACCAACUGAGACCCGGUCAGGAAGAGAGCUCAGGGCUGGAGGUCAGGAGACCAUAUUCUAGUUCUGGCUUUGGCUCUGACUGGCUGUGCAACUGUGGGUGUCAAACCACUGUCCAUUCUGACCUCAGCUGUCACGUCUCCAAAAUGGAGCAACUGAGCCCAGCGCUGUCUCCCCUCAGCUCUCCCCUCAGUCCUGGUGACUGCAUGGCACAGCCUGAACUCCCAAGUGUGUUUUGGGGUUCUGAGGAUGUCCAGAAUUAAGCUCACGGUCUAACCAUGGACUAGAUAUGCUUCUAGAGAAUUCUGCACUUCUGCACUGUGUAGACCUAGCAGGGCUCUCUGCGUUGGAGAGUAGUUGGGGUGUGGGCUAUGAGUGAGACUUGAGAACCCCUCCUAGCUGGCUUGGAAUGCUUCCUACAGACCCCUUCAGGAGGCCUGCAGGGCUGCUUCACUGCCUCUGGGAAGAGGGCCUGGCAGGACCAGGGAGGCAGGAAGGGCGCCUCCUGCAGGGAAAAGCCCUGCAGGUGCAACCACAGCCCUCACCUGCAGUGAGGAAACCUCCUAGAUUUGGUGCCACCUGAUGGCCAGCAGGUUUCCACUCUUAAGAAAACAUGCACAUAGUUAAGUUCACACAUCUUAAAUGUACGGCUCAAUGAAAAAACUUCAGAAGUUCCCUUAUAUCUCUCCCGAGUCUGUAUCAACCCCCUCCCCACCAGAGGUGAGCACCAGUCCGGCUAACCACACAGAUUCCUUUGGCCAGUUACUUUUAAAUAAAGAAAGUCACACGGUCACACGUGUCCCUCUGUGUCUAUGUUCAAUAUGAUGUCUGUGAGAGUCAGCUGCCUUGGCUUUUAGCAGGUUCAUGAGGCUGCUUGUGCACCUCUGAACAGCCUUCUUGGUGCUUAUUUCUGGAGCUCAGAUUUAUCAGAGAGAGAGAGAGAACUGGAACUCCUCUGCCUUCAGAAACUGCUGUGCUGUAAGUUGGGGGACAACUUCCUGGUGGUCUUCCUGGCAUUCCUUAGGUUUGGGAACUGCUCAUCUAUAUUAACAAGCAUAGAUGUCUUUUUUUUGGGGGGGAGGGUAUUGGGGAUUGAACUCAAGGGCAUUUGAUCACUGAGCCACAUCCCCAGCCCUAUUUUGUAUUUCACUUAGAGACAGGGUCUCACUGAGUUGCUUAGCCCCUUGCUAUUGCUGAGGUUGUCUUUGAACCCACAAACCUCCUAUCUCAGCUUCCAGAGCCACUGGGAUUACAAGCGUGCACCACCACACCUGGCACAUGUAUGUCUUUAAAUGUGUUUUUCUGUGUAUGGGUGUGUGUACCGACUAGCCCUAUGCAUUCCCACAUGUGACCAUGCAUUUGACAUGUAUGUUGCCACAAAGAAAUUUCUCCAGAGCUGUGUAUUUUUUGUUUUAAAAGGAUCUCUUCUGUCCUUUUUGUCCACUCUAGCAAGAGUCAGCCACUCAGGGAAGUACCUCUUCUAUUGAUGGAAGGAGAGAGCCGAGGCCGUGCCCAAAAUAUUUCUCCACCUUUGACCUUGGCCUGGACUUGUGCGGCAGGAAGCUCAGGUCCUGCCUCAUGAAAGGCAUUCUGUCAGGGCCUGGAGUGAACUUGAGUUCUUGUCCUUCUUGGGAAGAGCAGCAUGAGAGUCUUACCUUAAUGCUGGGGGAUGAUAAAGAACUUGAGGCCGAUGGUGAAUGCUUGCGGGCCAGAAGCCACAGUUUCUCAAAGAAGCAGAGAAUGGCCCAAGAUGAGGCUGGAGAGGAAGGCAGGCUGGGUCAUUGGGUUGAUGGAUGGGAGUAGGCGUUUCAUGCUAAGUUGCAACUUCUGUGAUCACGGGAAUGCUGUACCGAAUCCACCACUAGAGGGCAGCGCUGGAGAGUUUCAAGAAUAGCAAGUGGUACCUUUCAAUAGAGUGUAAAAUGAAAGGAUCGGUGACUCUCUUUGUUCCCCUGAUGAAUUUUUUUUCCCCUUUGGACAAGGAACACAAAGUCUGGGAGUGAUUGGCCUUCUUUGCAGGGACACUGGAGGGCAGCAGUGGGCAUUCCUAAAUGCCCAAAUGCAUUGGCUUCCUGAAUCCUCUGGCAAUGUUUUGCUUGUGACUGAUGCUCAGCGGGCCACGGGGGGAAUGGCCAGAAUGCUAUUUGUUGAGCUCUGUCCUCUCUGCCUGAGCUGGGGGAAGGUGGCGUUUGGCUUCUCUACAAGCAAAUCCAAGUCUUCCUGGUGGCUGGUUCCUGCAGAAGUGGGGCUCUUGGCUGCUCAGCCUGUUUUGUUUGGAAACCAAGUUCAGAAAAAAUAGAGGGAGGAAAAAAACAGCUCUGAACUUGGAUCCAGGAGGUCUGAGUCUGAGGCCCAGCUUGGAUGCCUGCCUAGUAUCCUGGGCAAGGUGCAUGGCCUCUCUGGGUCUGUGGGUCUCAUCUGUGAUGUAUCAUUGCUGCAGAGUUGAUAAUGAUGCUCUCUCUUCUGGCCUGGUACAAGGAUCUGCAUCCACACUGCCUCAUCAUCUCCUUUUCAUUAUUCCAUAGGGCCCUGUAUCAGUCUACUUCUCAUCACUGUAACAAAGUACCUGAGAUAAUCAACUUAUAAAGAGAAAAGUUUUUUUUUUUUCUUUUUUAAAAAUUUUAUCACAGUUUUCCAGAUUCCAGUCCACGAUUGAUUGGCUCUGUUGUUUUGGGUCUGUUGCAAGACAGCACCUCAUGUUGGGAGUGUAUAGUGGAGCAAAACCACUCAACUUAUUAAUCAGGAAGCAAAAAUAGAGGAGGGAAGGAGAGGGACCCCAGAAUCUUCCUGAGGGCACUAUAUUAAUGACCUAAAGACCUCCCAUUAAGCCCCACCUCUUAAAGGCUCCUUCGCCCUAAGGACCAAGCCUUUAACAUAUGGACCUUGGGGGACAUUCAAGAUCUAAACUGUAGCAGCUGGAGAGCAAUACCUGCAGUUUGCAGUUGAGGCUGCUCAGUUUCUGCCAGAUAAGGUGAUGAGGCAGUUUACCCAGAUUACAAAGCUGAUUGGCAGAGCCAGGGUUUGAAUCCAGGUGUGUCUAACUCCCAAACCUGCAUCCUUCCUGCUCUAUCAUGCCAGCUGGCACGGACCCUCUGCCCCUUAGAUGGUGGGGAUGGAAGUAAUGACAACAGGAGGCAGGAAUACGUGGCUUGAGUGUCCCCCAGCCACAGUGAAGGUCUGCUGGCACUGCCCAGGACCUGACCCCAGAUUCUCAGUGACCUCAUCUGACAAAUGGGAGUGAUUCUACUGUGAGCUUCAAAACUCAUUAUAAAGGCUAAACAGAAUUUUGAUUGUGAAGGCAUUUUGCACAGUGGGUCAUCAUCAAUAUUUAAAAGCAACAAACAUUUAAAAUUCCUUUUUUUUUGUUUUUGAUGGAACUGAACUGGGGGAUGCUUUGCCACUCAGCUACAUUCCUCGCCCCUUUUAAACAUUAUCAUUAUUAUGUUUAAAAAUACUUUUUAGUUGUAGAUGGACACAAUAUCUUUAUUUUAUUUACUUAUUUAUUUUUAUGUGGUGCUGAGGAUUGGAUUCAGUGCCUCACAUGUGCAAGGCAGACAUUCUACCCCUGAGCUACAACUCCAGUCCCUCAUUAUUUUCAUUUAGAGACAGGGUCUUGUUAAAUUGCGGAGACUGGCCUCAAACUUUCAAUCCUCCUGUCUCAGCCUCCAGAGUCCCUUGGAUUAUAGGUGUGCCACAAACACGGUCCCUGGCACAACAAACAUCUAGAAGAAGGAGGUCUGUGGAGUCAGGGAAAUGGAAAAGAGCCGGUGGGACCUCUGCUGGAAGCCCUAGAGGAUGGGGGGUUGUUCUGGUUGGGGAUGUCUUGGGAAAAGAUCCAGUGGGAGGCUCCAAAGUAUCUGGAUCUGGCAGAAGAGCUCCCCCUAGUGGAAGCUAGGCGAAGCUGCAGCUGGGAAGGUGGGGGAGUAUAUCUUGUGGUUUUGCGGGGCGGGGACUAGGAGGCAGAUAACUUGCAGAGAAUCAGGCAGUUGUUUCUGUUGCUUUUAUUCUAUUUUAGGGGAACAUCUGACAAUUUGUGCACAACACAGGGGUGACCUCUCUAGUCAUUUUGGCAUCUCCUGGGCUCUGUUGUGGGGCCCUGUCUUCUUCUUUGGAGGCUGGAAGAAGUUUCUGGUCUUUUCUCCCGCCUCUCAGUCCCCUAGCCCGUCCACUCCCCGUCUUCUGAGGGUCCCACGUUCUCCUGGAUUGAGCCUGCUGGGGGUCUUCCUUGGUGCUCCUGUUGGGGGUUGAUUCUGAAGUGAGGGAGCACAUUGGGGUUGGGGUGGGGGCACUCAGAUUGGCCCAGCUUCAGGUCACAGUAUCUGAAAGCCAGUUGACCCCACGGCAGGGUGUGGGGGGACUUGCUGCUGGCAGGUCACCCACACCUCGUUGUGCUGAAGAAUAUCUGUUCCCUUUCUCCCGAGUUAUAGUCAGAAACGUCCUCUCUUGUUUGGUUACCCUCGGGAGCAGGGUGAGGCAGUGCUGGGCUGCAGGAAGGGGAACAGGGGACUCCUUGCUCCAGAUAGGAAUGGGAGAAGGACACAUGGAGAGUGGGAAGGACACCUUGACCACCCAUGCCUGGGACACAGGGGCCACAUCCACUCGAAAAGGCUGCUCUGCUUGGUGCCCUCUCCCUCCUCAGCCUCAGACACCUGCUGUGACUUCUCAGGGUCCUCCUGGUGACUCCACAGAGGCAAGUUCACAUGCUCAGCCCAGCAGGGAGCUUAGGGACAAUUCCACUGAUUCCCUUCCUUGUGGGGAAACUGCCACCCUGAGUUGCUCCCAUCUGCUGCCCUUGACCCCACACCCCUGCCCUGCUCAUCAGUGUGCCUGUGGGGCUACUGCCAGGAGCCUCUGGGCAGUCCUCCCUGCUAAAGUCACCACCUGGGACCAGGACGAGCCCUGAGAGUUUGUGCAAACUUGUCCAACGUCACACAGACAAGACUCAUCAGCUCUGGCCAUGGCACUGGAUUUCCAUCCCACCCCCCGAGUGGCAUCUGUGCCCUUGUCACUGAGUUGUCCCCUUGCCUUCCCUGUGGCUCCCUAGCGCCCACUCCCCAGUUGCUGGGGCUUCCAAUUGCCCCCACCGUCUCCUCUCUUUGCACAGGAAAGAAGCAAUUUGUUCAGGAAACAAGGGUGUUGGGUUUUACAUCUUUGAUCUCUCUCUCCAAAGAACAAUCUUGCUGAAGAAUUCUUUCCAAGAAAUGAUAUUUUCUUUCCAAGAAAUGAUAUUUUCUUUAUUCCUUGAUUUUUAUGUAAACAGGUGGGAGUUUGGAACUAACCUGUACUCAGAAAAGAUAAGAAAGAGGCCCUGCUGUUUCCUAGGCUGUGCCCAGGUGUGAUCCUGGACCAGAGAACCGAGUGGGAAACUCCUUUAGCAACUCAACAUUGUUUUCUUCGCCAGUGUCUGGGUGACCCACCUUCCACUGUGGUCUCUUUCUCCAACACUUCACCCCACUUCUCUAUCCAGAUUGAUCGACUCUGUUCAGCCCUAGACUUUCUUUGUUAAUGAAUCCAGAAGGGUCUGUAUUGUUCAGUCCAGAGUUAUCUAUGCCAAAAAAACUCAGGAAGGUCCACUCUGCCCAGCCCUGGAUUACCUAGAGGGAGGAUCCAAUAGUUGUUCUACGCCAGCUCUGUCCAAAGUAAAUUUUAUGGGUGCCAACGUGCGUGGGCACAUUCAAAAAAUAUAAAAAGGAAACAGUGGAAUCAAUGCUGAUAACAUUUAUUUAACUCAAUAGAUCAAAAAUAUUAUCAAAUCAAUGCAUAAACAAUAUAAAAUGAUUCAUAAGUUAUUUCACAUUUCUUUACAGUGUGGCUUGAAAUUUGGAGUGUAUUUUAUACUUAUAGCACAUCUCAAUUCAGAUGUUAAUAUUUCAUUGCAAAUACUUGGUUAGUAUUUAGGUUUCACAAGAUAUAAAUUAGAUUAAGGUGAAAUAAAAUAUUGAGUUCUUCAGUUUCACCAGCCACUGUGCGAGCGCUUGGUCACAACAUGUGGCUGGUGGCUGGUGUGUAAGGCCACGCGGUCCCAUACUGUUCUACCCAGGACGGUCCACUAAUGAAUUCAGGAAUGUUUUAUACUUUCCAGCUAUGGAUCAGCUUUGCUUCACUCAGGACGGUCUACAUCAGGGUUUCUCAGCAGUGGCACCAUUGAUUUUUUAGGAUGAUUAAUCCUCUGUUGGGGUGGGGGCUGACUGUUUUGUGCAUUGUAAGUUAUUUAGCAGCAUGGUUGACCUCUAACCAUCAGAUGCCAAUGAACUCUAAAUUGGUGACAAUAAAAAAAAAAUGUUCCCAAGACAGAUGUGGUGGUACACACCUGUAAAUCCCAGCAGCUUGAGUGGCUUAGGCAGGAGGAUCACAAGUUCGAAGCCAGCCUCAGCAACUUAGGGAGGCCAUAAUUUAGUGUCUCAAGAUGAACAAAAAAAGAGUUAGGAUGUGGCUCAGUGGUUAAGCACCUCUGGGUUCCAUCCCUGGUACCCUCCCCCUGCCAAAAAGCAAAAACACAAACAAAAAACCAGUUCUCAGACAUUGACAAAUAAGGGGAAAGUAUCACUACCUGCUGCCUCAGUUGAGAACAAUAGUUGAGAACAAUAGUCAACACUGCCCAAUUUAGGACUAUCUAUACUGGCUGAUUCUGUAUUGUCUACCCUCGCCAGGAGCGCCUAUGCUGUCAAAUGCAGAAUAGUUUGCCUGUCUAGGUCAAGGUUUUCCAUAACAGCCCAUGGGUCUAUACUAUUCUGUAUGCUACUUCUUAUUUGCUUGGUCUUGGGUGAUCUAUGUCAGCAGUUCUGAAUUGGUACUUCAAGAAUAGAACCAGACUCACAGAUCCAGUUCAUGUGGCUUACACAGUGUUUCAGAAUAUUUGAAGUAGUUGCCAAAAUUUUUUUAAUCAAGAGAUUUCACUUAGAAAUCUGGAGUUUACCUUCAGAGCUCUGGCCUCAAGGAAGCCCCAUUUCCAUUUAGUGGUGGUCAGCUGGAACUGAGUCCUGGUUGCUCUCUUAAAGUGAGGGUGUGUGCUCUCCGAAACUUUGUGUCCACCCUGUCCUCACUCAACUCAUUUCAUAGAAUAGUAAUAACCUUCUGAGCCCUCUAAGCAUUGGGUCAUGCUCUUGGAUCCACACUGACCUAUACAAGACUCUACACUGGUCAGUCCAAGCUGGUCUUGGAGAAGGAUAUCAAGGAGGCCUGUAGAUUCAAACCACCCCUUCAUCUUUUGAACGAAAGUAUGGAUUUCCAGGCUUAUCUCAGACUUUUUGAAGCAGAAACUAGGGGGCAGAUGUUUUUUUUUAAAAGUUUCACAGUUGAGUCUGGGGAUCCCCUAAUUAUAAACUACGUGUCCAGAUGAGCCACUCUAGGGAGGUUGUCCAUAGCAGAAAGCUCCCUGGAGUCUUCUAGGGUCUCUGGCUGGGUUUUGCGACUGCCCAAAGGCUCCUGACACCAGGAAGGCAGCUCCUGACCUUGGAUGUUACCUUGAGGACCCAGGGGACACAAGAGGUUACAUUAGUGAACGGAACUAACUACCAUUAGGUCCCUUCCCCCAAAUGGAUGCUGUCCCUGAAUCUUACUCUGUACAGUCUAUUCUUGGAGAAUUUAUGGGUCAGGAGGCUAACGUGCAUUUCCACAGUGGUGGCUAUUGGGAGCUUUGUCCAGUUCCCUCCCCGGGGCUCAAUAACCCCUCUCUGCUGCCUCCGUGGUCAUUUCAUGGUGUGACACUCACUGGACAUUGGCCUCAGCUGGUAGGAACUUCCGUGAUCCUGAUGAAAGCCAGACACUGAUGAGUUAGUGGGUGUCCUAUCAGGGCCUGUCUCCUUGCCUCAGUUUGGAGCCCUCCCAGCCCCUGUAGGAUUGGUCAAGGUCUCAGGUGCAUUGUGGGACAGCUUCUCCCUCCACUCAACAUCUUCCUCCCUUCCUUACAGGUGGAUCUCCCAGGAACAUCUUCCCAUAAACCUUCUGCAUGCAAAAUAUUCCUUCCAGCCUCUGUUUCCAAGGAAGCCACUCUAAGACCCCCAUCUUCUUGGCAGUUCUGUGCUGAGACCUGGCAUCUUUUCAGCACCAAGAAAAUCAUCUUAGAACAUCUGGGUCCCUUUAUGGCUUAAAAUUCCAUAGAAAAAAUGGGCUUUCCAGCUGUAGCUCAUGGCUGAACGUCUGCUGUUUGCUGAGCAAGUCUCUGGAUGAUUUGGAUACUGUUGUGGCCACCUCAGAUGUUGAUAUAAAACAAAGAGAGACAGUGAGAAGCACAUUCCAUUUAAAUAAUCAAACAAAAUCCAAACGCUUGUACACCACAGCUGUUUAGGAGGAAACCGCUCCAGUUCCUUGGCUCCCUCCAACGAGGGGCCUUCUGUCUUCCGAAGUGGUGUUUGUCUUGUGGUUUUUACUUACAAGUGCAAAACUGAGGUUUCUGUUUCCUAGGUGACCAGCCCAAACUAGAAAGGCAUACUUUGUAGUCAGGCGAGGACUUCACUUUGUCCCCCACACGGAACACCCAAGGGAUAUUUCCAGAAAACAUCUGGUUGGGUCAGUCCCCUGCCUAGGAACUCCAGGGGUACUCCAUCAUCUUCAGAAUAAAAUUCAAGUUCUUUGAUCUAGGAUUCAAAAUCCUUUGUGAAUCCCAGCUUCCUCUCAAGCCAGUUCUCAGGCAUGCCAAGCUCCAGCCCCAAUAAAUC